rnacentral:rRNA from 1 species
UACGGGGGUGCGAGCGUUGUCCGGAAUCAUUGGGCGUAAAGCGCGCGUAGGUGGCCUGAUAAGUCCGCUGUGAAAGUCAGAGGCUCAACCUCUGAAAGCCGGUGGAUACUGUCAGGCUAGAGUCCGGAAGAGGCGAGUGGAAUUCCUGGUGUAGCGGUGGAAUGCGCAGAUAUCAGGAGGAACACCAACGGCGAAGGCAGCUCGCUGGGACGGUACUGACACUAAGGCGCGAAAGCGUGGGGAGCGAACA